UAAUACGGGGGGAGCAAGCGUUGUUCGGAAUUACUGGGCGUAAAGGGCGCGUAGGCGGCUGGGUCAGUCGCGUGUGAAAGGCCGGGGCUCAACCCCGAGCAUUGCACGCGAUACUGCCUGGCUCGAGAGAGGUAGGGGCGAGUGGAAUUCCCGGUGUAGCGGUGGAAUGCGUAGAUAUCGGGAAGAACACCUGUGGCGAAGGCGGCUCGCUGGACCUUUUCUGACGCUGAAGCGCGAAAGCGUGGGGAGCAAACAGGAUUAGAUACCCUGGUAGUCCACGCCGUAAACGAUGGGUACUAGGUGUUGGGAGGAUUGACCCUUUCAGUGCCGGCGCUAACGCAUUAAGUACCCCGCCUGGGGAGUACGGUCGCAAGGCUG
rnacentral:rRNA from 1 species